rnacentral:rRNA from 1 species
GGGCCUACGGGAGGCAGCAGUGGGGAAUAUUGCACAAUGGGGGAAACCCUGAUGCAGCAACGCCGCGUGAGUGAUGACGGCCUUCGGGUUGUAAAGCUCUGUCUUCAGGGACGAUAAUGACGGUACCUGAGGAGGAAGCCACGGCUAACUACGUGCCAGCAGCCGCGGUAAUACGUAGGGGGCAAGCGUUAUCCGGAAUUAUUGGGCGUAAAGAGUACGUAGGCGGUUCUUUAAACGUAGGGU